CCGUUCUUGUGUUAUUUGCUAGGUGUUUCAUCCUACCCUAGUGAUUGUCAAACAGAACGCAGAAUAAUCACCAGGCAGCUAAUCACUCCAUAAUGCUUAGUCGACUUUAUCCAGGACUACAGCAUUACUAAAUGCGCGCCAUAUUU
rfam:Drosophila ananassae strain TSC#14024-0371.13 Ctg01_19627, whole genome shotgun sequence.